GCAGAUGGGAAACGUGCCAUGUUUCUGACUUCCCUUACCAGAAAUGUAGCCUUAAGAACCAGGACCGAGCGACGCCCUCCCUUCGCUCUCCAUGCCCGCUCUCUGGCUGUCUGCCUGCUCCGCUGCACGCCCCGCCACGUGACAGAUCAGGCAAUCUCCUUCGCCGAGUACUUCCUGGCCGGAGACAUCGCCGCCGCCAUCUCCAAGACGGCCGCCGCCCGGAUCAAGCGGAUCAAGCUGCUGCUGCAGGUCCAGCGCGUGAGCAAGCAGAUCGCCGCGGACAAGUAGUACAAGGACAUCGUGGACUGCAUCGUCCACAUCCCCAAGGAGCAGGGCGUGCUGUCCUUCCGGAGGGGCAACCUGCCCAACGCCAUCCGCUACUUCGCCAUACAAGCCCUCAACUUCGCCUUCAAGGGUAAGUACGAGCAGAUCUUCCUGGGGGGUGUGGACAAGCACACGCAGUUCUGCAGGUACUUUGCGGGCAACCUGGCCUCCGGCGGUGAAGCCGGCGCCACCUCCGUCUGCUUCGUGUACCCCCUGGAUUUCUCCAGAACCCGCCUGGCAGCCAGCGUGGGAAAGUCAGGCACGGAACGUGAGUUCCCAGGCCUGGGACACAGCCUGGCGAAGGUCACCAAGUCCCACGGCGUCCGCGGCCUGUCCCAGGGCUCCAGCGUCUCCGUGCGGGGCAUCAUCAUCUACCGAUUCGCCUACUUUGGCGUGUACGAUGCCGCCAAGGGCAUGCUCCCUGACCCCAAGAACACGCACAUCGUGGUGAGCUGGACGAUGGCGCGGACGGUGAUGGCCGCGGCCGGCGUGGCCUCCAGCCCCUUCCACACGGUGCGGCGGCGCGUGAUGAUGCAGUCCGGCGCAGAGCAGUGACGUCAGGCACACGGGCGCCGUCGGCUGCUGCGGGAAGACCUUCAGAGACGAGAGGCGCAAGGCCUUCUUCAAGGGUGCGUGGUCCAGCGUCCUCCGGGGCAUGGGGGGCGCCUUCGUGCUGGUCCUGUACGACGAGCUGAAGAAGGUCAUCUAAGGGCCUCAGCGGCCUCCUCCACACGCACCAAGGGAACCAAGAAAACCACGUAGAAUCCUCAACUGUGCGGACCACCGACCUUUGAGAAAUUCCAGUUGUCUUUUUCCCAGCUGGAUCCUGCCUGUAGACAGCCAGGGAAGGCUCUAGAAAAGGGGCGCGUUGUGAUCCA